UAGGGAAUCUUCCGCAAUGGACGCAAGUCUGACGGAGCAACGCCGCGUGAGUGAAGAAGGAUUUCGGUUCGUAAAACUCUGUUGUUAGAGAAGAACAGCGCAUAGAGUAACUGUUAUGCGUGUGACGGUAUCUAACCAGAAAGCCACGGCUAACUACGUGCCAGCAGCCGCGGUAAUACGUAGGUGGCAAGCGUUGUCCGGAUUUAUUGGGCGUAAAGCGAGCGCAGGCGGUCAAUUAAGUCUGAUGUGAAGGCCCCCGGCUCAACCGGGGAGGGUCAUUGGAAACUGGUUGACUUGAGUGCAGAAGAGGAGAGUGGAAUUCCAAGUGUAGCGGUGAAAUGCGUAGAUAUAUGGAGGAACACCGGUGGCGAAAGCGGCUCUCUGGUCUGUAACUGACGCUGAGGCUCGAAAGCGUGGGUAGCAAACAGG
rnacentral:rRNA from 1 species